GUCCCAGCAGCCGCGGUAAUACGAAGGGGGCUAGCGUUGCUCGGAAUCACUGGGCGUAAAGGGCGCGUAGGCGGCGUUUUAAGUCGGGGGUGAAAGCCUGUGGCUCAACCACAGAAUGGCCUUCGAUACUGGGACGCUUGAGUAUGGUAGAGGUUGGUGGAACUGCGAGUGUAGAGGUGAAAUUCGUAGAUAUUCGCAAGAACACCGGUGGCGAAGGCGGCCAACUGGACCAUUACUGACGCUGAGGCGCGAAAGCGUGGGGAGCAAACAGGAUUAGAUACCCCGGUAGUCC
rnacentral:rRNA from 1 species